GUCGUAACAAGGUUUCCGUAGGUGAACCUGCGGAAGGAUCAUUAAUGGAAAUUUAAUUCAAGGUUGUUAGCUGCCCUUCCGGGGCAUGUGCUCACCUUGUUUUUCAAAAUCCACCUUCUCACACCUGUGCACAUAUGGUAGUCUAUUGAUUGGAAGGGGUUCACUCCCAACCAUUUAGUAUUCUACGUAUUUUUUUACACAUACACAAAGUUUUUAGAAUGUUCAUAUUUGUGAUAAACACACAUCUAUAACAACUUUCAACAACGGAUCUCUUGGCUCUCGCAUCGAUGAAGAACGCAGCGAAAUGCGAUAAGUAAUGUGAAUUGCAGAAUUCAGUGAAUCAUCGAAUCUUUGAACGCACCUUGCGCUCCUUGGUAUUCCGAGGAGCAUGCCUGUUUGAGUGUCAUGAAUCUCUCAAACUCUCUAGUUUUUUAUGACUAUUGGGUUUGGAUUUGGAAGUUGCUGGCACAAGUCAGCUCUUCUUAAAUACAUUAGCUUGGGUCUUGUAUGCUAGGAUCCUUGGUGUGAUAAUUAUCUACGCCAUGAUGUCCCUUCAAAGCCCUGCUUCUAAUCGUC
rnacentral:rRNA from 1 species